rnacentral:rRNA from 1 species
UACGUAGGGUGCAAGCGUUGUCCGGAAUCAUUGGGCGUAAAGAGCGUGUAGGCGGCUCGAUUAGUCCGGUGUGAAAGUCCAGGGCUCAACCCUGGAAUGCCGGUGGAUACUGUCGGGCUAGAGUCCGGAAGGGGCGAGUGGAAUUCCUGGUGUAGCGGUGAAAUGCGCAGAUAUCAGGAGGAACACCAAUGGCGAAGGCAGCUCGCUGGGACGUGACUGACGCUGAGACGCGAAAGCGUGGGGAGCAAACAGG